AGCGAGCGGCGGAUGGGUGAGUAACACGUGGGGAACCUGCCCCUAAGUCUGGGAUACCAUUUGGAAACAGGCGCUAAUACCGGAUAAUAAAGCAGAUCGCAUGAUCAGCUUUUGAAAGGCGGCGUAAGCUGUCGCUAAGGGAUGGCCCCGCGGUGCAUUAGCUAGUUGGUAAGGUAACGGCUUACCAAGGCGACGAUGCAUAGCCGAGUUGAGAGACUGAUCGGCCACAUUGGGACUGAGACACGGCCCAAACUCCUACGGGAGGCAGCAGUAGGGAAUCUUCCACAAUGGACGCAAGUCUGAUGGAGCAACGCCGCGUGAGUGAAGAAGGUUUUCGGAUCGUAAAGCUCUGUUGUUGGUGAAGAAGGAUAGAGGUAGUAACUGGCCUUUAUUUGACGGUAAUCAACCAGAAAGUCACGGCUAACUACGUGCCAGCAGCCGCGGUAAUACGUAGGUGGCAAGCGUUGUCCGGAUUUAUUGGGCGUAAAGCGAGCGCAGGCGGAAAAAUAAGUCUAAUGUGAAAGCCCUCGGCUUAACCGAGGAACUGCAUCGGAAACUGUUUUUCUUGAGUGCAGAAGAGGAGAGUGGAACUCCAUGUGUAGCGGUGGAAUGCGUAGAUAUAUGGAAGAACACCAGUGGCGAAGGCGGCUCUCUGGUCUGCAACUGACGCUGAGGCUCGAAAGCAUGGGUAGCGAACAGGAUUAGAUACCCUGGUAGUCCAUGCCGUAAACGAUGAGUGCUAAGUGUUGGGAGGUUUCCGCCUCUCAGUGCUGCAGCUAACGCAUUAAGCACUCCGCCUGGGGAGUACGACCGCAAGGUUGAAACUCAAAGGAAUUGACGGGGGCCCGCACAAGCGGUGGGAGCAUGUGGUUU
rnacentral:rRNA from 1 species